UACGUAGGGGGCAAGCGUUGUCCGGAUUUAUUGGGCGUAAAGAGCGUGUAGGCGGCUUUACAGGUCCGUUGUGAAAACUCGAGGCUCAACCUCGAGACGCCGGUGGAAACCGUAAAGCUAGAGUCCGGAAGAGGAGAGUGGAAUUCCUGGUGUAGCGGUGAAAUGCGCAGAUAUCGGGAGGAACACCGGUGGCGAAGGCGGUUCUCUGGGCCUUACCUGACACUGAGGAGCGAAAGCGUGGGGAGCGAACAGG
rnacentral:rRNA from 1 species